ACCCGGCUAUCUCAGUCGGUAGAGCUCGAAAUUCCUUAUCUCGGGGUCAUGGGUUCAUGCCCCACGUUAGGCA